GAUGAAGAACGGAGCGAAAUGCGAUACGUAGUGUGAAUUGCAGAAUUCAGUGAAUCAUCGAAUCUUUGAACGCACAUUGCACCUCUCGGUAUUCCGGGAGGUAUGCCUGUUCGAGCGUCAUUUGUACCCUCAAGCUCUGCUUUGUGUUGGGUGUUUGUUCCGCCUCUGUGUGUGAACUCGCCUCAAAACAAUUGGCAGCCGGCGUACUUGUUUCGGAGCGCAGCACAUUUUGCGAUCCAGAUCAACGUACAGCGGCAUCCAAGAAGCCUUAUUUAACGCUCUUGACCUCGGAUCAGGUAGGGAUACCCGCUGAACUUAAGCAUAUCAAUAAGCGGAGGA
rnacentral:misc_RNA from 1 species